rnacentral:rRNA from 1 species
CAUCCUCCAAGGCUAAAUACUCCUGACUGACCGAUAGUGAACCAGUACCGUGAGGGAAAGGCGAAAAGAACCCCGGCGAGGGGAGUGAAAAAGAACCUGAAACCGUGUACGUACAAGCAGUGGGAGCCCCACCACUAAGCCAGUGGUGAACUCCACAUACGCAUCCUUUGCUGAGGAUACGGUUAACGGAGCGAAAGCGACGUUCAACCUCAAAAGAAGCAGAGGGGGCUUAGUGGUGGGGUGACUGCGUACCUUUUGUAUAAUGGGUCAGCGACUUAUAUUCUGUAGCAAGGUUAACCGUAUAGGGGAGCCGGAGGGAAACCGAGUCUUAAUUGGGCGUUAAGUUGCAGGGUAUAGACCCGAAACCCGGUGAUCUAGCCAUGGGCAGGUUGAAGGUUGGGUAACACUAACUGGAGGACCGAACCGACUAAUGUUGAAAAAUUAGCGGAUGACCUGUGGCUGGGGGUGAAAGGCCAAUCAAACCGGGAGAUAGCUGGUUCUCCCCGAAAGCUAUUUAGGUAGCGCCUCGUGAAUUCAUCUCCGGGGGUAGAGCACUGUUUCGGCUAGGGGGCCAUCCCGGCUUACCAACCCGAUGCAAACUGCGAAUACCGGAGAAUGUUAUCACGGGAGACACACGGCGGGUGCUAACGUCCGUCGUGAAGAGGGAAACAACCCAGACCGCCAGCUAAGGUCCCAAAGUCAUGGUUAAGUGGGAAACGAUGUGGGAAGGCCCAGACAGCCAGGAUGUUGGCUUAGAAGCAGCCAUCAUUUAAAGAAAGCGUAAUAGCUCACUGGUCGAGUCGGCCUGCGCGGAAGAUGUAACGGGGCUAAACCAUGCACCGAAGCUGCGGCAGCGACACUGUGUGUUGUUGGGUAGGGGAGCGUUCUGUAAGCCUGUGAAGGUGGCCUGUGAGGGUUGCUGGAGGUAUCAGAAGUGCGAAUGCUGACAUAAGUAACGAUAAAGCGGGUGAAAAGCCCGCUCGCCGGAAGACCAAGGGUUCCUGUCCAACGUUAAUCGGGGCAGGGUGAGUCGACCCCUAAGGCGAGGCCGAAAGGCGUAGUCGAUGGGAAACGGGUUAAUAUUCCCGUACUUGGUGUUACUGCGAAGGGGGGACGGAGAAGGCUAUGUUGGCCGGGCGACGGUUGUCCCGGUUUAAGCGUGUAGGUGUGUGUUCCAGGUAAAUCCGGUUCACUUUAACACUGAGGCGUGACGACGAGGCACUACGGUGCUGAAGCAACAAAUGCCCUGCUUCCAGGAAAAGCCUCUAAGCAUCAGGUAACAUCAAAUCGUACCCCAAACCGACACAGGUGGUCAGGUAGAGAAUACCAAGGCGCUUGA